rnacentral:siRNA from 1 species
GUACACCUCGGGUCGACCUAUGUA